GGGCACAGGGAGGUGAUGUAAUGCUUUAAAGAGCAGAAGUGGUGCUGAUGCUGCGCAGUCUGACAGCAGCAGAGAGACGGGACAAAACACAGACACACAGACAUCACACCGAGGAGCCGAGGCUCAGUGACCCUCUGAGACACAACAAUGACUCUCACAGCAUACAGAGAGAAGAUGAAGGAGCUUCCACUGGUGGCCUACUUCUGCUCCUGCAUCAUUCCAGAGACUAAAGAGAAAACCAACAAAAAAACUCACCAAGGUGUGGUGGAUCUGAACUUGUGCCUUAUCAAAGACAUGGAGGUGAUCGAGCUGAAUAAGCGAUCUUCAGGUCAGGCCUUUGAGGUCAUCCUGAGGCCUCCUUCAUUUGAUGGUCAGAGGGAGUUUAAUCCCAGCAUCCCACCCCGCAGAGACCCCUCACUGGAGGAGAUCCAGAAGAAGCUGGAUGCUGCAGAGGAGAGGAGGAAGGGUCAGGAGGCUGAACUACUGAAAUAUUUGGCUGAAAAGCGAGAGCACGAGCGUGAAGUGGCUCAGAAAGCUGUGGAGGAACACAACAACUUCAUCAAGAUGGCCAAAGAAAAGCUGGAGCAGAGAAUGGAGAUCAACAAGGAGAACAGAGAAGCUCACAUCACUGCCAUGCUCGAGCGCCUGCAAGAGAAGGAGAAGCACGCUGAGGAGGUGCCAUGAGGUCUUCCGAAAGUUUCAGGAUCCCGAUCACCAAAGGACUGAAUACGAUAAAGCUGUGAGCUUUAUUAGCUUUUUGGGGAAAACAAACAAACAAAACAAUAGUGAUAUUGUUACUAUGGUUACGAAGGCUUUCCUGCGGCCAUUUUUUUGCGACGUGAGAAACAGACUGGUUUUCCAGAAGAGUCGGAGACACGAGCAGCGCUAAUUUAAUAUGAGGAGCCACCCGUGCCAAAACCGUGUGUGUGUGUGUGUGUGUGUGUGUGUGUGUGUGUGUGUGUGUGUGUGUGUGUGUGUGUGUGUGUGUGUGUGUGUGUGAGAUUUCACUUCUAUUUGUCAUUUCCUGUCAUUUGCUUUCCUGAACCUUUACAUCCAUAAAUGAUUUAAAACCCUUCAGGUUUUUAAUUCCAGGUUGAUUUUUGGCUUUUUCUUUAAAACAUCCCUCGUGUUGAAGCAGAUGUUUAUGUGCACAAGUACAAGCAGUAAAACACAACAUGAA